rnacentral:rRNA from 1 species
AUUGAACGCUGGCGGCAGGCCUAACACAUGCAAGUCGAGCGAGCGGCGGACGGGUGAGUAAUGUCUGGGAAACUGCCUGAUGGAGGGUGCUAACUACUGGAACCGGUAGCUAAUACCGCAUAACAUCAGAUGUGCCCAGAUGGGAGUCGCAGGUAGGUGGGGUAACGGCUCACCUAGGCGACGAUCCCUAGCUGGUCUGAGUGGAUUACCAGCCACACUGUAACUGAGACACGGUCCAGACUCCUACGGGAGGCAGCAGUGGGGAAUAUUGCACAAUGGGCGCAAGCCUGAUGCAGCCAUGCCGCGGGUGUGAAGAAGGCCUUCGGGUUGUAAAGCACUUUCAGCGGGGAGGCGUUACCCGCAGAAGAAGCACCGGCUAACUCCGUGCCAGCAGCCGCGGUAAUAC